rnacentral:tmRNA from 1 species
GGGGUCGCCUGGUUUAGACAGCAAGACGAUCAUAACUGUAAGCAUGUCGAGUAUUUGAAGGAUCUCGUUAAUACUUCUUCUCACAUUUUAGUUGGAAACAACAAUUACGCACUUGCAGCUUAAUCUGAAUUAUAGUAAGAUUAGCUUAAUUCUGGUAUAAGAUAUCAGAACAAGUAGUCUCACUUUAUGGGUUGUUUAGUUCCAUAAAGAUUUGAGGCUUCACGAAACUAAACUAGUUGGUUAAUUGCUUUGCUUAACUAGCGAAAUUUAAGAAGCUUAGAUCAAUAGUGGGUUGCCUUUAGCCAGCUACUGAUCGAAUUCAAAUUAUAGGCUAAGCAUGUAGAACGCUUUUGUAAUCCUUGUUUGGACGUGAGUUCGAUUCUCACCGACUCCAC